rnacentral:lncRNA from 1 species
AAACUUUCAGCGCCGCCCAGCGAUGCCUCCCCUUGCUUCAGGUUAUAUUCACGGUGUCAGCAGCCUCCGAUCUUUCUUUAGAUGAGACGUUCAACUCUAAGCGAAACAACACGCUGAAGGGAAAAUGUGGUGCCAUGUCGGCCAACUGUUCCUGCGAUAGGGUUGUUGAGUCGAUGGUCACUCUCUUUGCGGACCACACUCCUCACGAGAUGGUGAUCCUGUCCACUCAUUAAGUCUAUUCCGUGUUCGGUUGAUCCAUCGAACAAAGCACCGAUCGACCUGGUCCUUUGAGUGAAUAAACCUAAUGUCCAAAAGCAGUAGGCAGCCACUAUGUAUCCUUCUUUUUUGAUCUAACGAUGGCCAUGUGACAAGGGCGUACGACUACUAGGAUUAGGUUAUCGCAGUUUAAUUUCAAUUAAACUAAAAUUUAAAGACAGAACCACCUUUUUAACAGUUUGUGGGGAAAAGGGGAUCAUUGUCUACUGAACAGAACCCAUAAUUAACAAGACAAUGCAGUGUCAGUGUGUCACAAGUAGAAUUUUCUAGUCUUCCAUAUUUGAAAUUACACCCCCACCCCCCGUGAUGGUAGACACUGAGAAAAGAGAGGUGGGACCAUAAUAAGGUCUUUUCAAUUGCUAAUACAUGCUAAUAUCAUAUCCAAUCCUAACCAUAAAUAGCGGAUUUUGACUGAACCAUCACGAAACUUACGUGAACCAAAAUAUAUGUCUAACACUUUUGAAAGUCAGACAUCAGUUGUUAAAAAGUAAAAUACAUUGUCACUGUAAUAUAUUUAACCUCCAGGGCAUUCUCAGUUUUAUUAUCACAGCCUAUUUUUUUUUACAAAUAGGAAGUCAUCUCCAUAGUACAUUUCAUAUAAUUCAUUUUUAGCAUCACGUUAAUUAUUUUACUGUUUAACCUCUUUGUGCUUCUACCAAGGUAUAAAUCCUUAGAAAUGGUAAAACUUUAACGUCUACUAGAUCAUGAAAGACGCGCGUUGCUGCGCCCGUCUAUUAUGAAUUUAGGAUGAAAUUAUUAUUGAUAUAUUUGUAUAACAGUAAUUAUUUUACUGUGGUUUGCGAUGUUUAUUUUGUUGCAUUUUAUUUGUUUUUUUGAAAAAUUUGUGGUGUUAUGGGCCACAUAAUAGUAAAUUUCUUAUUUGUGUGUAAUAUUUAAAUUAGGCUGAUAGGGGCCUGCAUAGGUAUUAAUACUUUUGCAGCAGCAGUUUUUGUGUAUUGAUGUGUAUGUUGAACGUUUUUAGUGAGGGUUUAAUUCUGUAUAUUUAUGUAGGAUCGUAAUCGUUUAAGAUAUAUUUGUAUUACAUUAAUUAUUUUCUUGUGGUUUGCGAUCUUUAUUUUGAUGCAAUUUUUUUGUUUUACUUUUUGGAAAAUUUGGGGUGUUAUGGGCCACAUAAUAGUAAUUUUGUAAUUUGUGUGUAAUAUUGUAAUUGGGCUGAUAUGGGUCUGUUUAGCUAUUAAUACUUUUGCGUCAGCAUUUUUUGUGUAUUGAUGUGUAUGUUGAACGUUUUUAGUGAGGCAUUAAUUUGGUAUUGAUCUACGAUAGGAAUGGUUGUAGGUUUUGCAUUAGCAUUUGUAACUUUGUUGACCUUUGUAUUUAUGAACAGUAGUUAUAAGUAGAGGGACGUUAGUAGCUUACUUGCUCUAUAUAUACACAUCAUCCUUUGUGUUUAUUUCGAUGUUGGUGUAUGCAGUUCUUAGUUUGUGAGCUAGACUUAAUUCUUUUUCAGUUGUGUUGGUUGUAGGUACGAUUAUAUUUGUUAAACUUUGUUGUCUUUAAUUCUUUAUUUUUUUUAAAUAAUGAGUAAUAGUUGUAUGUUAAAUUUGUUGAAAUUUAUUGUGUAUUGUAGGUUUGUUGUUCGAAUAAAGUUAGCGUGAAUGAUGGUGUUGAAACAGGUAAUAUAAAUUUAUUUGUUUAAUUAUGUAUGUUUCAUUUGUGUAGUUGCAUAUAUUUUGUAGAUAACGUAUGGAAAAUAUGAAUUUUUUGACCCUGGAUGGGAUGAGAAAAUAGGCCCAUUUAACGAGAUAACACGGUUUCGGCCACCGGAGCAGCGGCCCAUUAGGACAGUCGAGCCGACGAUGAAAAAGUGUGCUGGAGGUGGCGGUAUACAUCACAUCCGACGGCUAGAAACGACCCGAUCGUCAAAAUGGACGGCUAAAAAAGCAAAACGCUGAGAGGGCUCGCUUUAGGUUCAGUUUUACUGUCCUAAAUGGCCUUUGCAUCAAAGAGCCACACUGCCCAACCUUAUUACUUUGUCUAAACAAUAUUUGUUAAAAAGGAAAAAAAAACAUAACAUGAUUUUCUUUUUCUUGCAAUUCAACACAUGAUUUCUUUUUCGAUGAGCUGAGCUUAGAGAAUAAUAUGAAAAUGGAAAACUUAAGUAAACUAGAUAAACUUGUGCGAUAAUGCGGAAACGUCUUAGCCAUCUAGGCCGACGUGUUGCGUGUUAUAUAGGUGGGUUGCGAGCCCUCAUACCGCAUACAGGAAGUUAAGAUUACAAUCUUGGAGAUCAAGGAAAGCAAGAGGUAGAUAAGAGUUUAAACAUUACACAAGUAUCUAUCCGAUCUAACUUAAACCUCUCUAGAUUGGAGAUAGGGAUAAACCUCUCCUGGUUCGGUUGAGAUCCUUAGCCGCAACUUGUAUGUUUAACACCUCCCUUAAUCACAACUUUAUCAAGUUGAGUUUAUGCUUGAAGUCUUCAAAACUUCUUGUAGGAAGAGCCUUGGUAAAACCAUCUGCAACCUGGUCCUUUGAGUGAAUAAACCUAAUGUCCAAAAGUUUAUUUGCAACCCUUUCUCGAACAAAGUGAAAAUCUAUCUCAAUGUGUUUAGUUCUGGCAUGAAAAAUUGGAUUUGCUGAUAGAUAGGUAGCACCUAGAUUGUGACACCAUAAACAUGGAGCUUUAGUGCUUCUCAUACCUAGUUCCUUGAGAAUGGACCGCACCCAUAUUAUUUCUGUUGUUGCAUUGGCCAAUGCUUUAUAUUGAUCCACUUCUGUGCUAGACCUGGAAACAGUUGCUUAUUUUCUUGCACACCAUGAUAUCAAGUUAGGUCCAAAGAAAACUGCAAAUCCACCAGUUGAACGUCUAUCAUCUACACACCCUGCCCAGUCUGAGUCAGAGAAUGCACUAACAAGUGUAGAUGAAGACUUGCAGAAAUUCAAACCAAUGCUCAAAGUAUUUUUCACAUAUCUCACAAUACGUUUUGCAGCAGUGAAGUAAACUGUGGUAGGUGCAUGAAGAAACUGACAUACCUUAUUUACAACAAAUGAUAUGUCAGGUCUGGUAAGUGUUAAGUACUGGAGUGCACCUACUAAACUUCUGUAUCUUGUACUAUCAUCUGGGUUCAGAAGUUCUCCUUCAACAAGAGAUAGCUUUUCUGUGCUAGUUAAAGGAGUGGGUACUGGCUUACAAUUUUGUAGACCAGCCUUCUUUACUAGAUCUGUUGCAUACUUAGCUUGGGAAAGGCGAAGACCAUCCUUGUGCCUUUUUACCUCAAUGCCAAGAAAGAAGUUUAGAUCUCCCAAAUCCUUAAGGGCAUACUUUGCACUCAAAUCUCUUAACAAUCCUGUUAUAGCUUCAUUAGAUGAGCUUGUCACAAUGAUAUCAUCAACAUAUAUGAGAACAAAUAUGGAUGUAUUUGAUUUGUUAUAAAUAAAUAAUGAAGUGUCAGACUUUGAAGGAAUGAACCCAAGUGCUUGCAUCUUUUUGCUGAGACAAGAAUACCAUGCUCUUGGAGCCUGUUUUAAUCCGUACAGGGCUUUGUCAACUUUACACACAUAAGAGGGUGCAUGUGGAUUUUCAAAACCAGGAGGUUGUUUCAUGUAAACCUCUUCCUCCAGAACACCAUGUAAAAACGAGUUAUGUACGUCUAGCUAUCGCAAACUUCAACCACUUGACACAGAAAUAGACAAAACAAUACGAAUAGUGGCAGCUUUAACAACUGGACUAAAUGUGUCUUCAUAGUCUACCAUACCGUUGUUUGAAUCCUUUUGCAACAAGUCUAGCCUUGUAGCGAUCAAUGGUUCCAUCAGUUUUUCUUUUUAUCCUAAAAACCCACUUACAGUCAAUAAUAUUUUUACCUUGCUUUGAGGGAACCAGAUGCCAUGUCCCAUUCUUUUUAAGUGUUGCAAGUUGAUCAUUAUGCAUUCCCUCUUUCCAAUUUUCCUUACCAAGAGCCUCCUCAAGAGUAUUGGGUUCUCCUGGUUCACCUGUUGAACAAACUAUCCGAAAUUUUGUAAUAUGUUUGUAAUCAACUGGUUUAGUUACCCCUUGUUGUAGACGUGUUCGAAGAUGAACGGGCACCUCCAGAGUUGUUGUAGAGAUCUCUGGUGUAGAUAAUCCCGGUUCUGGCGAUCGCGAGGCACGGUCGCUGUCUGGCUCUGGCGUGUUGGCCGCGGCUGGCGCAUGCGUCGCCUCGCCAGGAUCUUCUGCGCUUGCCGAUUGUUGCACAGAGGUGAUCUGGGCCACAGAAGAUCCGGGCCAAGACACAUCAUGACAACCCAAUGAUUGGGUUGGCCCACCUGUUGCCGGGCGAGCAAUGGCGGCGCGCCGUUUGUAGACCUGCGGUUGGGCCGCCAGGCGCGCACGCCUCGAGGAGGGACCAGCGCGCCAAGUGUCUGGCAGCGGUUGGCCUGCAUGGCCCUGCGCGGAGUCGUCCGCGUCUCCAGCCGCGACAAGAGCCAGUCCCGAGGUGGAUGUGCUGCAGUCUGGCGCUGACGUCGAGGAGGAUACCCUGUGCUGUAGUGCCGCGACAGGAACCGAUCCCAAGGCGGAUCUGUUGCAUCCCGGUGCUGACUGUGAGAAGGAUUUGUCCCCCACGGUGGGACACAUGAAAUGAUGUCUUGUUUCAUUAUUUUCGGCGUCGUUUGGACUGUUUUCUUCGCCAUUUGCACUGUUCUCUGCAUCAUCACAAAGCUCAUGAAGGCUAUUAGAUGGGUUAGUCAUCAUAUGAUCAUUACAAGUAUCAAUGCCCCCUUGAUCAUAUCCGGAGAGAUGGGGUGGAAGGAGUAAAUUUUCUUUGCGUAAGAGGGCACAAAUUUAGUCUCAUCAAACAAGACAUCACGGGAAAUAUAGACACGACCAGUGGAGAUGUCGAGGCACUUUACUCCCUUGUGUUGAGCACUGUAUUCAAGAAAAGCACAUUGUUUUGAUCGAAACAUGAGCUUACGAUUGUUAUACGGGCGAAGAUUUGGCCAAAAGGCGCAGCCAAAAACACGAAGAGACGUGUAGUCUGGUUUGGUAUGAAGGAGGCGUUCCAAAGGUGUUUCAUUGUGAAUGACACGGCUGGGUAACAUAUUUAUGAUGUGAACAGCUAUGAGGAAUGCUUCAUCCCAAAACUUAAGAGGCAUGGAGGCACCUGCUAGAAGAGCUAGGCCGACUUCAACUAUGUGCCUAUGUUUGCGUUCUGCUAAUCCGUUUUGUUGGUGAGCAUGUGGACAUGACACGUGAUGUGAGAUGCCUAAUUUUUGGAAGAAGGAGUUGAGUUUUUCAUACUCUCCUCCCCAAUCUGAUUGAAUGGCUAUUAUUUUUCUGUCAAACUUGCGUUCAACAAGUGCUUGGAAGCUUUGAAAAACUUGAAACACAUCAGAUCUCUUCUUGAGGAGGUAUAUCCAUGAAAAUUUGCUAUAGUCAUGUAUGAAGCUUACGUAGUAUGUGUAUCUACCAACAGAGGAAGGUGCAUGACCCCACACAUCAGAGAAGAUUAAUUGCAGAGGCUUGGUAGAGACACUCGUAGAUAUAGGAUAAGGCAAUUUAUGACUUUUAGCACGUUGACAGGAAUCACAAACAGUUUCAAUAUUUUGCUCACCAACAAACAGGAGCUUAUUUCUCCUAAGUAACUUUUCUACUAAAGAAAAAGAAGCAUGUCUUAAACGAUCAUGCCAUCGAGUGGAUGAGAGCUUGACAGCACCACAAGCUUGUUUAUUGAAUCUUCUAAACUCUGGAAUCAACGGGUAGAGCCCUCGAACACAUCUACCUCGAUAGAGAAUUUUCCUCGUUGCCUGAUCCUUGAUCAAAAAGAAAUAGGGAUGAAACUCAAGAAAUACAUGAUUAUCAAUGGCAAUUCUAUGAACAAAUAGAAGAUUUUUGUGGGCACGAGGAACAUGUAAGAUUCUUUUAAGAUGGAUCUUUCGACUAGGGGUAUUGAUAGUUGAAUGACCAAUAUGACAUAUACACAUAUCUUCGCCACUGGCACUAUGGAUUUGAUCCAUGCCACGGUAUUUCUCCUUCAUGGUGACUUUCUCCAACUCAUUGGUGAUGUGAUUGGUGGCGCCACUGUCGACAUACCAAUUGGUAUCGACGCCAUAGGAGUCGUCUGCCAUUGCAGCGAAUUUUUCUUCAUCUUGUGAAGAGUCUUCGUCCUCGUCAUAGCGGUACCAGCAGUCCUUAGCCACAUGCCCGAGCUUGCCACAGAUCUGGCAGCGAGGCGAGUCAGGUCUGCUUCUGUUGGCACCACCGCCGCGGCGUCCGUUGGGGUUGCCUCGAGAAGUGCCACCACCACGACGUCCUCUGCCGCGGAAAGAGCCACGCGAGCGAGAGCCGCCACCACCACGGCCCCUGGUCGCAGAGUUGGCAGAAGAUUUGAAGCCGUCGCCGGAGCCGUGAUACUGCGUCAUGCGUUGAUCAAAGUUACUGAGCAUAGCGAAGAGUUCAUCAAGGGUUACCGGGGUGACGCAUGCAUCUAGGGCGGAGAAGAGGGGGUGAUAAUCUUGAUCAAGCCGAUGCAUGAUGUAGGAGAUGAGCUCAUCAUCCUGGAUGGCCUUGUCGGCUGCUGCGAGUUCGUCGGCGUAGCCUCGCAUGGCAGCGAAGUAGGAGGCCACCGACUGGUUCCCCUUCUGCGCGUUGAUCAGCGCAGUUCGGAUGUUAUUGACGCGGCUGAGGGAUUGCAACGAGAACAUGUUCGCCAAAGCUACCCGAGUUCGCGCGCCGUGGUGAUCGUGGUCACCGUGACGAGAACCUCUUUGGAGAGGUUUUGGGGCAGAUAUCCGAGAACCUGCUGAUCCUCCCUCACCCAAGUAGGAUGAAGGGGAUUUGACUCAGAGGUUUCCUUCCCGGCGGUGUCCUUGGUGCUGAGGACAGCAGCCGGUUCAGGUGCCGUGCCGUCGACGUAGUGGUAGACGCCGCUUCCCGCAGCUGUGGCGUGAUCUGUGUCCACCACAGAAUGUAGUUGGUGUGGGAAAGUUUCUCGGAGACUCCGCCGCUGAGCAACGGCUGGUGGGAGCUGGAGGAAGACAUGGCGAGGGCGCACGAUGGCUGGAGAUGAACUGGCUAGACUAAUGGAGGAAGAUUGCUCCGAUACCAUGUGCGAUAAUGCGGAAACGUCUUAGCCAUCUAAGCCGACGUGUUGCGUGUUAAAUAGCUGGGUUGCGAGCCCUCAUACCGUGUACAGGAAGUUAAGAUUACAAUCUUGGAGAUCAAGGAAAGCAAGAGACAGAUAAGAGUUUAAACAUUACACAAGUAUCUAUCCGAUCUAACUUAAACCUCUCUAGAUUGGAGAUAGAGAUAAACCUCUCCUAGUUCGGUUGAGAUCUUUAGCCGCAACUUGUAUGUUUAACAAAACUCACAAUUAAAAUCACUGUACCUGGAUUGAAGGUCGAAAGAAACGUUAAUGUGGAGAUGGUGCUGCUUGAGGUAGCCACAAAAAUACUACGCGUGUACAACAUUGCUAAAGUUCCGUAUUUUUUUGGAAAAGGAUGUUCAAACCCCCGGCCUGUGCAUCAAUCGAUGCAUACGGUCAUCUUUAUUAAUUAUUCAACAUAGGUCUAACAAGAACAUACAUCAAACCAUCUGAAGCCACCACUCACACCUACGAAACUCGAUAAUGUGGAGUGCUCUCACUCCCCAUAUCUAAAACCGGUGCCGCCACCGAUCCAUCCACAUAACGUAUCGGAAUCGACAAUCGGUGCAGCAGACCUAAAGCGUACACCACAUGCACACGUUUUAGACACCGCCAUCAUCAUCAGGCCGCUGACCCAUCUUCAGGAGAGAGAUCUGUAUCAUCCUUUACGAUCCGUCCAUCCGUCAUGCCACCACGGCUCGUCAGUCCAGACGCGAAGAUUCUGGAAGAUCUGUCAUGCGUAGCACUUGCCGACCAGGCAUGACACAUCGUAGCACCUGUCGGCCAGGCAUGACUUGACAUCUCCACCGAAAGCUCCACGCAAGAUGAUUGACGCCACCACGACGCCAAACAGCGCCACCGCCCUGCGCUCAUUCGUCCACACAUGAAGAUUCUGGAAGAACUGUCAUGCGUAGCACCUACCAACCAGGCAUGACUCAGCGUAGCACCUGUCGGACAGGCAUGACUUGACAGGUCCACCAAAUCUUCGGGCCAGACGAAGCCACUCUAUCUCCUGCCUCUGUCAUCCAGCGUUGCUCCACAAACGAUGCUCCCAAGAGAGAAACGGCACCGCAGUACCGCCAUCUUCCGAUCUGGAAAGUCAGAUCUUAGGGUUUCUCCCAAAGUAGUGCCCACCACCAGCAACCGUCCAGGACCCACAUAGUUCCCACCACCACUCUCAGCCCUCAAGGCGACGCCUUCAGGAAGGUCACGACGUCAAGGACGCCGCCGCUGCCCACCGGAGUUAGGGUUUUCACCCGAGAGGCAGUGAGGUAGGAAGUGGAGGAGAAGACGUAGACCGACGUCUCCAGGAAGAACAACGGCGCCCUUGAGCGUUAUCGGCGGCGCGGCCGGCCAGGGCCGACCAAUGGGUCUCCCCUUAUCUGAAUCUCCUCCAGCAGCUUCAUCCGCGGCCACGCCGGCAACGCCAGGAAACCGCAGGAGAGAAGCACACCGCGGGUAUCUCGAUCAAUGAAGAUCCAAUCUGAACAGUGACGAGUACCACAACCCUGCGCUGGCUGACGGCGUCUGGGCGCUGGAUCCAGAAGAAUCUGACCCGAACUCGACGACGCACGCGACCACCAUGUCUUUCCCCUCCCGCAGCCACCACACUGCGCCGCAAGAACGAACCCCAGCCCUCGACGCGCUCCGCAUGCCGCCGCGAGGAUCCACAUGCCGCGCCGCCGCACGGCGCGCUAGUCCGACGCCUCCUCACGAACGGCCGUCCUGUGCCAGCCAUGUCGCGUGAAGGGGAGAGGAUCCCGCCACCGCCCCUGCCGGCCAGGCUUCGCCCAGCGACGCUACUGGUGGCAGCAAGGAUGAAGGAGGAGCGAGGGAGAACUGGCGGCGGCGGCUAGGGUUACCCCUGGUCGCCCACGGGGGCGACGGGAGGGGGUUACGGGGGGUGACGGGAGGGACUUAUGUAGUGGAGGCGCCCGACGGCGAGGUACGGCACCGGCUAAAGUCCCGUUAAAUUUGUUAUUUAUUCAAUUGGGUGGACAUUUGCUAGAGUUUUGCAUGGGACCAAUGCCAAGCGAGUCUUUCUCCACUCUCUCACUUCUUUAGCAUUAUGAUAUCGGAACUUAUCAUGAGAUGCAGUGCAACUUCAUUUUAUUAAUAGCCACUUUGUUGUUUUCAUUCAUCUCAUUGUGGAUGUUCGUUCUGAAUGAAUAAGAACAUUCUUUUAUCGCCUAAUAAUUGAUUGUUUAGUACUUGAGUGUACAAUUAAAAAUAUCUUCUCAAGACGAAAUAAUCUCAAUAAACGAGAAAACAAUAUAAUAUGAUUUUUUGUGUUGUUUCCGAGAUGCACAUUCAGACUUAGGAACUUCACGCUAGUGGCCAUGCUACUUGGGCUCGCCUGGGACGAACCAAAUUGAAUUUGAACAAAAAAAACAGGUUACACAUUUAGUCAUGAACGUCCAUCCAUGAGCAGGUGUCUCCGAUCUCUAGGAUGGUGUUCCCUGGCUCCAGCAUUCCUAAUGCUUGCAACAAAGACCGUUAAGUUAAACUCUUGCCUAGAGGUUUAAGCUAUACAUCCACUCAUAAUUUGGCGAUGGACUAUGCCUUGAAUUUUUUGAUUUGUGUGAACAAGUUUCGCUCAAAGUUUUAACACGUACCUGGCUGUUAGUGGGCUUCCAUGUGGUUGGAGAUAUACGUGUACUCCUUGUUCUCCUAACGAGCUUACUAGAGAUCAUAUUUGGUUUUCGUUAUGUUAUAUAUGUGGAUGAUAUUGGUUUAGAUGAUGCAUGAUGAUGCUAUGUGUAAUGGACAUGCAUAAUUAUGCUAUGCUGGCCGCCACAGGAGUCGUCGGCUUCUCACAUGUGGCUGACAAUAUAGCUCUCAGCAUAGAUUGUAGAUAUGCCAAGGGCAUAUGUACACCGCGUGCCAGCACGUAGAGAGCGCGGGUGCCUGCAGUGGAGGAGCUACCUACCGGCAAAAUCGUGUUAUGGCCUGCCGUAUCCAAACGAAACACGCUGUAGUUUGAGGGUAAACUGGGACACUAUUAGCAAAUUUUAUGUGAUUUCCUCUGUAUUGGCCCGCCCAACUGUUCCUAGAUAGCUCCGCCACUGGGCGCCAGGUCAACUAUUUUUGCUGAUGGACAUAUAUGCCGACGGUCAAAGGGGAAGCCUUUGCAUAGACCAUAUGUCCCGACAGCUUUGCUAUGCCGAUGGGGUAAUGAUAUUUGCCGAGGACAUCUAUAAAUAAAGGGUGGCCCUCGGAAAAGGCUAUGCCAACGGUUGUCGGUCCUUUGCAGACAGAUUUAGCUAUCGGCAUUGCCAGUGAUUCAUGUAGUGUAACUCUAAAAAGCAGCAAACUAUUGCUACACUAUACAUCCUCCCUUCAUUCCCUUAUACAAGGCCACAAAUUCAAAUUACAGGUACCAAGGUAAAAUUUAAUGACUACUCCCUCCAUACCUAAAUAUAAGUCUUUUAAGAUAUUUCACUAGAUGUCUACAUACGAAGCAAAAUGAAUGAAUCUAUACUCUAAAGUAUGUCUAUAUACAUCUGUAUGUAGUCCAUUAGUCGAACUACUAGAAAGACUUAUAUUUAGGAACGGAGGGAGUACUUUAUAAGCCAAAUUUUUUCUCGUUUAGCGGGUCAUUAAUAUGACGAUUGCAUGCAAGGAAGAAAUGAGAGGAAAGUAGCUGAGUGUCAUUAUGAUUACAUGCAUGGAAGUAUUAAAUAAGUUACUAGUACGAGGAAACGUCAUUAAUUUCUGUCUCGUUUAGUGUUAGUGGCCUUGUAUAUAUGCAAAAUGUAUUUUUCAUUAUGGCCUUGUAUAAGGGAAUGGAGGAAGUACCUGAAAUAGCUAGUGACCGGGAAGUCCUCAAAUUUUACCAUUUGCAACCACAAACCCUAUUUCCAAAGCGACUAAUGCAUGAAAACACAUGUAUGUGGAUUAUCACGUCCGUAUUGAGCAUGUGGCUUUCAGAUGUUUUGAGUCACACCUCGCUGCAUGAGGAGCUAGUCGGACAGCCUAAGUAGCAUGGUCGUCUAGAAGCGACAAGCGCAAAAGCUUCAAUUAUCAUUACACCGUACCCUUUGUCAAGCGGAUGGACUAUCACUAUUAAUCUUCUCUUCUUAGAAGAUCCAUAGUCAUGGCCUAUCUUCUUCACAAAUUAAACAUUAAUGUUUGAAUGUCUCUUUUUUAAGCAGAAUGUGUCAAACGGGCAAGGUGCAGUCCGGUGCAAAGGUGUAGGCCAAAAUAAAAUCAUCACGCUGUCGCCACGCUGUUGCAGCCUUGGGUGGCUGCACAUGAGACCGCUAUGAAAUGGAGUUGGGUGCUCGGUUGCUCCCGGUCGCGUCUUGGCGCCUUCAUAUUUUCCAUACAUGUCCCGAUUUGACGUGUGUGAAUCAGUCCGGGCGUAUAGAGACUAAGUUAUAAUGGGUCAAAUACUACUAUUUCUUUCGUUCGAAAUUACUUGUCGUAACGUAUCUAGAACUAAAAUACAUCUAAAUACAUCCAUUUCUCCGACAAAUAUUUCCGGACGUUGGGAGCACUACUAUUUCUAUAGCUUUUAGAUAAAAUGCUCCACAUAAUUGCAUCAGACCCUAACAUUGUAUAUUAUAAAAAGACGGGCAAAGCAAGGCGCGCCAACAAUGAUCUAGUAGGCCAUAUAUCCCGACAGCUUUCCUAUGAUGUUGAUACGAUGUUUGCAAUUUUCACCUAGUGGAACUCAGAAAGGCACCAGUUGGACAUGAACACGGUCCGCACUUCCCUGUCUGUUUCCACAUGCACGUUUCUUCCAGCCAGCGAACCCUGCUGUUGGGGCACAUUACUGUUGGUUGUUUCUGUGGCGGCAGCCUGGCUGCUUAGCUUAACCUAUGCAUUUAGAAAAGGUCUGCAUAUACUACCCACCUUUUCGUUCAUCCAAGUAGGUUGAUUGGUGUCCAACACCUGACGGCCUACACCUGAUGGCCAUAGAGAGUGUUCGAAUGCCCUACACCCGUUUUCCGAUGCCUCCCAGCCCUACACCCGUCUUUUAGCCUGAACUACCGAGACGAGAGAGUAGCGGCAAUUUGCAGUCUCAGCUCACUAGCGAAACACGCAUUCACUAGUGCAGCGUACAAACACACCUGGAGAAAGAGGAGUGCUACUUGAGGCUUGGAGGAUUGAUAUUGAAAUGGUCUGAGUUACAACCGAGGGACUCGGUGUCCCUUUUAUACGUGAUUACAAACCGACUAUAGAUCUCAGAAAAUAUGUGAUUUUGUGAAGCAUUACUCUGUCAAACUUCUCAACACAGUAAUAUAACCUGCACAGUAAUAUAAGCUUGUAGUAGAAGCAGUAAAGUAAGCCACAAGUACACUGCCUGACUUCAUGUGUGCCAUGUUUCCAAUCAUUCAUUUCUGGUGGUGCACAUGUAGUAGCAACACUUAAUUAUGUCACAUAUUUGGACCUUGUACCCGUUCUCCUCGUGGCGACGCUUCACCUAUGCUCCCAACUGCGCCUACUGCUUGAAAAAACUCCUCAAAAAACUGCAAAAAAGACAGUAGCUCAAGAAACAUAUGCCCAACUUACAAAAGAACAGCAAAUCUCGCGUGUUCAUUGUCUCCUUUGCUUCUUCCUCUUACUACUACUACUCUCUUUUUAUUUACUGUUUUUAUUCUCCUUUGCUAAUACACCGACACCUUCCUAGUAUUAUUUUUCUUCCACUUUACGGGUAGGAGAGUACCCGUGCUCUCCUACCAACAGAACCCAAGUACCCUAUCGUGACUGUAAAUCAUUAAUAAGGACAUGUAAUACUCACAUGCUUACACAGUCAUUGUUUAUUAGUAUUACCUUGCGUACAUGCUAAAAUUAUCAGAUCUUAUUUAUAAAAUUUUGGCCCUGUUUCUUGCCAAAUUCCCAGAGUGCCAAUAUAUAGUAAUUGGGGUGUUCUUCAAUACACUGCCUCUUAAUUCAAUCAGCACUUCGGCAGUGUGGUAAAGUCUAAUAUCCGUCGGUGUUUGUACGGUUGGUCCAGAUCCAACUUAUCGACAACUUCAAUCGUACAAGGGUAGUAGGUGCGACUAGAUCAAAUCUGCGGGAGAAUAUUGGGAAACAUUUUGACCCGUAUCUCUUGUUCCACUAACAAUCUGAGCAAAACUUUCAGCGCCGCCCAGUGAUGCCUCCCCUUGUUUCAGGUUAUAUUCACAGGGUCAGCAGCUUCCGAUCUUCCUUUAGAUGAGACGUUCAGCUCUAAGCGAAACAACACCCUGAAGGGAAAAUGUGGUGCCCUGUUGGCCAACUUUUCCUGCGAUCAGGGCCGGUCAUGAGAUUUCGGGGGCCCGGGGCGAAACUAGAAUCUGGGCCCCUUAGUAUAAUCUCUAAAAUAGUAAAAUAUAUAUAGACAAUGUGUUACUAGUAAACAUUUAAGUGCAUCCAAAAUGAAUAUUCAUCAUAAUAACUCAUAUAUCAGUUUUAAUUUUUUUCUUCUUAUAUUCAUAUCAUUGCCGACAAUAUUAGUAUAGAUCUCAUCUACUAACUUCAUGUGAAAUAUCCGUCAAAAAAAAAUUGCGUAGCAAAACAUAAACUUUUGCUAGAGACCUCUCUAAAUUAAAUCUUUCAAUCCGGUCGAGUGGUAGAAUUAUGUCUAAAAUAUCAAUAAACAAUUGCUAGAUGUGGUACGUAUCUAGUCAAUGUUUAAGAGGAAAAAUGUUACACACCUCGGUAGAUCAGCUGUCGAUCUAAGUGGAAUCUCAGCGAACUGGUAGGAGCCUAAAACGCAUCAGGGUAGAUCGCAUGCCUUCAAGGUCAUUACAGGUCGAAAUUGCUGAUGAGCCUUCCACCAUGGCCUUGGAUUAGGGGAUUUGAAAACUGAAUUAGGGGAAGCCAACAAGAUUGAGAUGGAGAACGAGGAUCGAAUGAUGCGAGGACCCGGAGAUUGGAAAGAGGAGUUUGUUGGCCUACUGUCGUAGUUCUUCUAGCGUCGGCAACUACUGAUCAGGGAUCGGGGGAUAGAAUAAGGAUCAUUCUUCUGCGUGACUUGCGUCCCUGCCUCUCUCUGGGCCUCCAUGCCCAUGAGCAUACCUGUUGGGGCCCCCCUGGAGUUGGGGGCCCAGGGCGGCCGCCCCUCCCGCCCCCCCCCCCCCUAGGGCCGGGCCUGCCUGCGAUAGGGUUGUUGAGUCGAUUGUCACUCUCUUCGCGGACCACACACCGCACGAGAUGGUGAUCCUAUCCACUCAUUAAGUCUAGUACGCGUUCGGUUGAUCCAUCGAACAAAGCACCGAUCAACCAGUAGGGAGUAGGCGGCCACUAUGCAUCCUUCUUUUUUAAUCUAAUGAGGGCCAUGUGACAAGGGCGUACGACUACUAGGAUUAGGUUAUCGCAGU